rnacentral:tmRNA from 1 species
GGGGUAGUCAUGGUUUCGACAGGGGUUUUGCAGCUGGAGAAGCUAUCCGCAGGUGAUGCGUCAAAUCACAAACCUAAAAUUAAACGCUGACAAUAGAUUAGCAGUAGCUGCCUAAAUGCAGCUUGUCCUUCCCCGUACACCUGCAUGCGGGGGUCUGGGCAUCAUCCCUGCAGGAAACGACUGUCACAAAGCUUUGAGUGCCAGGGCGUAAUAUGAAGCUACCGAAGAUUGAAGGGUGAUGGCUCCCGUCUUUCCUAGGGAAUCCUAAACAACCAUCUAUGAUAGUAGAAGGACAGGGAAUAAGUCUUUGGACACGGGUUCGACUCCCGUCUACUCCACUU